GUUGCAGUGAGAUGUGAGGCACUUGCAGAGACUCAGUCCACCACCCUGGGCAGCUUUCACCACCCUGGGCAGCUUUUCCGAGACGUAGGGACUGGCUUGCCGUAAUUCAUAGCUUCUGCUGUCCCUUGCUACAUACCUCCUGUUUGGUCACAAACUAGGAUUGCAGCAUCUGCUUGUAGGCUCAAAAUAAAGGGAUGGAGAAAAAUCGACCAAGCAAAUGGAAAACAGAAAAGAGCAACUUGCUUCCUGAAAAUUCACGAACUCUCAGAUCCUAGAUGAAAAUGAGACCAGAAGAUGGAAGAAUCUGGAUCUCAAAAGGCUGGAGUGCGGUGGCAUGAUCUCGGCUCACUGCAAACUCUGCCUCCCCAGUUCAAAUGAUUCUUCUGCCUUCUGCCUCAGCCUCCCAAAUAGCUGGAACUACAGGCCAACUUUUCUACCAGAUAACCCUGACCUCAUCCUGUCAGAAUUGAAUGGACCAAGAAUUGAGCUACCCUAAAAGGCCAGUUUUCUGGAAAUAGUUUGAAGAUACCGACUCAUGGUUAAAUGUUUCACAUUUACCCUCAGAAAUGAGUGCUACUGUUCAGAAACGGAGGUGCCCACUUUGCUUGUGGGAUUUAGGAGGAAAUGCCACACACUGUCAUAGAAAAAAUGGCGUCUCACUCUAUUGCCCAGGCUAGAGUACAAUAGUGCAAUCUUGGCUCACUGCAACCUCCCCCUCCCAGGUUCAAGCCAUUCUCCUGCCUCAGCCUCCCGAGUAGCUAGAACUACAAGCACGUGCACUGUACCCAGCUAAUUUUUUGUAUUUUUAGCAGAGACGGGGUUUCUCCAUGUUGGCCAGGCUGGUCUCGAACUCCUGACCUCAGGUAAUCCACCGCCUCAUCCUCCCAAAAUGCAUUAUCUCUUCCCAAAAUGCAUUAUCUAUUUCAUUAAGAAAAAGGAGAAAGCAACCAUGCUAAGCUUCAAAUAAAAGCAUGUGAGCACACCUGAUGACGCUAGACCCACUGGAAUCUCGCAUAACUCAUCCUGAACGUGUUGGGAAUCAAGUCUCUCAGGAUUAGCCCUGGUAAUCUGAAAGUCACCAGUCAUCAAGAAGUGGCAUCUCUACCAUGUGGUGCAAUCAUAGCCCUGAACUCAAAUUUCUGUCUGAUAUAUUUGAUGUGAUCCCUCCUUUUAUACCCUUUUAACUUCUGCUUGGAGAGACCCACUGACCUUGUAGCUGACUGUCAGAACUUUUCCUUGCCAGGCCAGCAAUAAAUUUGGCAUUGUUUUGGACAUUGAUU
rnacentral:lncRNA from 1 species